CCUAUGGGCGCAUAUCUCGGGAACUGAGAAUAAUGCCCGAUAGAACAUUAUGCCUGGAAUGGUUUAUGUUUCAAAUGAUUUAUCGCCAUAGGAUGGGACUGCGGCCUAUCAGUUUGUUGGUGAGGUAAUGGCCCACCAAGACUAUUACAGGUACGGGCUCUGAGAGGAGUGGCCCGGAGAUGGGUACUGAGACACGGACCCAGGCCCUAUGGGGCGCAGCAGGCGAGAAAACUUUGCAAUGUGCGAAAGCACGACAAGGUUAAUCCGAGUGGUUUCUGCUAAAGAAACCUUUUGCCAGUCCUAGAAACACUGGUGAAUAAGGGGUGGGCAAGUUCUGGUGUCAGCCGCCGCGGUAAAACCAGCACCUCAAGUGGUCAGGAUGAUUAUUGGGCCUAAAGCAUCCGUAGCUCGUUUUGUAAGUUUUCGGUUAAAUCCAUGCGCUUAACGUAUGGGCUGCCGGGAAUACUGCAUAACUAGGAAGUGGGAGAGGUAGACGGUACUCGGUAGGAAGGGGUAAAAUCCUUUGAUCUAUUGAUGACCACCUGUGGCGAAGGCGGUCUACCAGAACACGUUCGACGGUGAGGGAUGAAAGCUGGGGGAGCAAACCGGAUUAGAUACCCGGGUAGUCCCAGCUGUAAACUAUGCAAACUCAGUGAUGCAUUGGCUUGUGGCCAAUGCAGUGCUGCAGGGAAGCCGUUAAGUUUGCCGCCUGGGAAGUACGUACGCAAGUAUGAAACUUAAAGGAAUUGGCGGGGGAGCAC
rnacentral:rRNA from 1 species